rnacentral:rRNA from 1 species
CCUACGGGAGGCAGCAGUGGGGAAUAUUGCACAAUGGGGGAAACCCUGAUGCAGCGACGCCGCGUGAGCGAUGAAGGAUUUCGGUAUGUAAAGCUCUAUCAGCAGGGAAGAAAAUGACGGUACCUGACUAAGAAGCCCCGGCUAACUACGUGCCAGCAGCCGCGGGAAUGCGUAGGGGGCAGGCGUUAUCCGGAUUUACUGGGUGUAAAGGGAGCGUAGACGGGUUGGUAAGCGAGAUGUGAAAGGCUGGGGCCCAACCUCAGGACUGCAUUUGGAACUGUCAUGCUAGAGUGUCGGAGAGGCAGGUGGAAUUCCUAGUGUAGCGGUGAAAUGCGUAGAUAUUAGGAGGAACACCAGUGGCGAAGGCGGCCUGCUGGACGAUGACUGACGUUGAGGCUCGAAAGCGUGGGGAGCAAACAGGAUUAGAUACCCCAGUAGUC